GCCUGAUUAGCAUAGUGGCUAAUGCGUUACACUUGUAUCACUUCCUCUUUGACGACAUGCAAAGAUCACUGGUUUGAUUCCAGUAUUAGGCA